AUUGAACGCUGGCGGCAGGCCUAACACAUGCAAGUCGAACGAGUGGCGGACGGGUGAGUAAUGUCUGGGAAACUGCCUGAUGGAGGGGGAUAACUACUGGAAACGGUAGCUAAUACCGCAUACCAUCGGAUGUGCCCAGAUGGGAUUAGCUUGUAGGUGGGGUAAAGGCUAACCUAGGCCACGGUCCCUAGCUGGUCUGAGAGGAUGACCAGCCACACUGGAACUGAGACACGGUCAAGACGCCGACGGGAGGCAGCAGUGGGGAAUAUUGCACAAGGGGCGCAAUCCUGCUGCAGCCAUGCCGCGGGUAUGAAGAAGGCCUUCGGGUUGUAAAGUACUUUCAGCGGGGAGGCGUUACCCGCAGAAGAAGCAACGGCUAACUCCGUGCCAGCCGCCGCGGUAAUAC
rnacentral:rRNA from 1 species